GAGACGGGCUGGGCCGUGCUGGGCCAGGUAAGUGGGCGCCAGGUAACUUCCUUCUCUCUCUCUUUUAUUUCUUUUCUAUUUCUGUUAUUUUGUUUUUGAUUUGAUUUAAAAUACCAAAUCAUUUAAUAAAAUCCUGGAAACAAUUAUGGGUGCUUCCUGAAUUAUUUCAGUGACCCUUAACAAUUUCCAACAUUUAUUUGAACAUUUAAAUUAUUUAUAGUAUUUAAAUGCCCAAAGUCAAAUACAAUAUGAUUUAACUCAAAAAUCCAAAAAUGACCUAAGAAUAUAUUCAUCAUUUUUGGCAGAGGUUUCCACCUUAACCAGAAAUCAUGAACUUUUCUUAGGAACCUUUUGGGUUUAUUGAAAAGAUUUUAAUUCACCCUAGUUGAGUUGAUUUAAUGCUAGGGUUUGAACAUCCCCAUUUCAAUUUUAGGCAAAAUUUAAACAUGAUGCAACACAUGACUAGCUAGCUCAGAGCAAACCAGAAGUUAGGGAUGUGACAAAUCUGCACUUCAUUCUACUAAACUCAACAAUGUCCCUACUGCCUUGGUCACUUCUGAAGAUGCUGCACAUCUGACCAGUCACACCCAGGCUGCAGAUCAUGAGGGAGUCAAUCUACUUCAGGAAACUGCAGGAUCCAUUCACAGGACUGAGUUGACUAGUGAAGUACCACAAGAAGAGAUAGCUCUAGCUCCAAUACAGACCGAAGAAGAUCUUAUAGGAGCAAAAGGUUCAAAGAUCUGGAAAACCCAUUUUGCUCCAUCUAUUCACACCAAGGAAAUUAUACAGGCCACCACAGAACAUAACAACACAGAGGAGUUUGAACCUACUGAAGUGACUUAUGCAUCCUCCACAUGAGCACUUCAGAACAAGAAAAAGAGGAAAGACAAAAUUCCUUUGGUAGAGACUGAGGUAAGGAGAAGUUGUAGACUCCAGAAGUUAUCUAAAGGCUAUAAACAAUCAGUUUGUUUGGACAAAGAUUGUCUUGCAUGUUCUAUUAAGCCACCAAUUAUUGCUGCCAAAGUGGUCAAAAGUCUUAACACCUCAUUUUGCAAGGUCAUUAACAAAGACACCUCUGAAGAGAUCCUGUCCAAGAGACCCAAGAAGAUCAAAGGUGCAUGCUCCAUGUAGGAGGGGAACAAGAAUCCUAAGGAGCCUGGUAAAAAUGGAUUUAGUUCACCUUAUAUCAUUAUCAGCUGUAAUAUUUUGUGUCCUAAGAUGUUUACAGUCUGGUAUUGUGCUGUGCUAUGAAACUUGUAUGAGACUUUUUUCUUCUUCUGCUACUAUGUAUGACUAUAUGGAAAGUGGCUCAAUUAUGCUUUUGUUCUGGACUUAUGGAAAGUGGCAUAACUACUUCCUCACCCCCCAGAUGUAUGCACAUAGCUCUGUUUGUUGCAAGUUGAUAUUUCUAAUCCAUUUUAUAUCUCAUGAAUCGAGAAUGGAAUAUUUUAAACUGGAAUGUUAG
rnacentral:rRNA from 1 species